CUACGGGGGGCACCAGUAGGGAAUAUUGCGCAAUGGAGGAAACUCUGACGCAGCGACGCCGCGUGAGUGAUGAAGGCCCUUGGGUUGUAAAGCUCUGUUCUAUGGGAAUAAGUUCUGAAGGUACCAUAGAAGAAAGGACCGGCUAACUUCGUGCCAGCAGCCGCGGUAAUACGAGGGGUCCUAGCGUUGUUCGGAAUCAUUGGGCGUAAAGCGGGUGUAGGCGGAUUGUUAAGUCAGAAGUGAAAGCCCUGGGCUCAACCCAGGAAGUGCUUUUGAUACUGACAAUCUUGAGUGUGGGAGAGGAUAGUAGAAUUCCUGGUGUAGUGGUGACAUACGUAGAUAUCAGGAGGAACUCCGGUGGGGAAGCCGGCUAUCUGGCCCAACACUGACGCUCAGACCCGAAAGCGUGGGGAGCAAACAGGAUUAGAUACCCUAGUAGUC
rnacentral:rRNA from 1 species